CUUAAAAAAAUAUGUUUAUUUGUUUUCUACUUCUAGCUUGUUGGUGAAGUAAAUCAAAUAUGGAUUUGUGCUUCAGAAUUAUUUAGUUUAAAAUCCAAACUUCACUUCUUAUUAACAAUAUGCCAUUGGUGGAGUUAUUUUUUCCCUUUGAGGUUCAUGUUUUUAUCCACUAAAAAAGAUGACCAUAAGGCUUUCCUCAGUGACAUUUAAUCUAGAUUGUGUGAGAUAGUUUGUGUAAAACACCUGACCUAAAGUAGACAAUGUGUAAAUGCUGCUGUCUCCUCCCUGUACAGCAAGGCACACAGCUGCAAGGACAUGUCCAGUGUUUCUAAAAGUCUACAGCUUUCCACAGAGAAUGAUUCUUGCUGCUCAUUCACUGUGGACCCAGUCUCCUGAUGACAAUGAUGGCCCAUGGAUGUAAAUUCACCUGUCAGCAGUAUUUUCAUGACCAUUUUGUAAAAUUAGAGCACUGUCCAGAAUAAUAAAUGAAAUUCAGGGAAAUGGGAAAACCAAAACUUGACAUGAUCCAUCCAGAAUGUAUUUCCUGCCUUUUGAACACCAAGUAAAUUUUCUUUGGAGACUCUUCUUAAGUGUCCAUCUCAAUUAAACCUUCAUGGCCCUCCUUCAAGACAGAGUUAGAGAUGCGUCCCUCUGUACUCUCAGUUGAGCACUGAGCCAAUUACAAAGCAGGAGCUGUUAUCUCCAUCCACUACUCAUGUACUAUGAAGAGUUCUCAUUGGCCUUUGCUUGUUAAGAACCAACUCAUUCUGAUAGGUGCCUAUGGAAACAGGGAGCUGUUGUUGCCUGUUGGGACCUCGUUUGAUAAUGUUCAGCUGUGAACGCUCAACAUUUAACCUGCUGGAUGUCUCAAUAAAUGUAUAUUAACUGUUGACUCACUAUACUAAAUGAAUAAAUGAAGUUUGUUCGUGUAUCAACAGUGCUGUGUUUUCUUCCGUGUCACAGCCACCAGCAGUUUGGAGAACGGGGAAGGCUGAACUGUAUUAAUAUCAACAAACGUGGUUUGCCCCUGAUUAUACUUGUGACCUUGUGCAGGGGACUUCCCUCUCUAGACCCUGCUUUUCUCCUCUGUAGAGUGAGGGAAUUAAACCAGGUAAUCUCCAGAGUCCCUUCCUACUAUUCCAUCCAGUGAUUAGUGUGUGAUGUAGCACGUGUUCUGAUAUUCCUUACAAUAUUCGGGGCCAGCCGACUAACCACUCACUCCUCAAAGAUUACACGAGCUGAGAGUUUAAUAGGUAAGUAGAAAAGAAUGCAAAAGUAAGGGUUUUCUCCUAUUCGCAGCCUGAGCGGCUUUUUAGUUUAUAUUUCCCGGGGCUAAGAGAGUAAAGAGUGGAACUAAGAGCAUCAGAAAAUAUUUUUUGUGAGCACAGGACAAUAUUUUAUUUAGAUCAGUUAAUGGGAUAAUGGUUGGUUUUAUUCACAGGAAGGAAUAUGCUUUUUAUAUUCAUAAGGUAUUAGUGACUCCAGACCCAUUUAAUUUCUACACAUCUGUUAAGUACAGAAAAAGGAAACCUAAUGAUCUAACAGAAAAACAUACUUAAGGCUAACAUUUGGUUCCCAGACCUAUCAUUCUCUUUGCCAAAAUGAAGUUACUGAAGCUUUCGUAGUAAUUGUUGUGACUGAGCAGAGCAAAGGGACUCAUGUACAUUCAUGCUGGUAUGUAUACACAUGUAUUUGCACCUCACAAGCCCAUAUUAGAACUUGCUAUUUAUUUCCUGAAUGAAGCCUAAAUUAGAUAGUGAUACUCGGCAUUGUUGCUGAGAAAUGGAUUCACAAUGUGUUCUUGUUUAAAACAGAGACAAUGAGUAGACAGCGACACAAGCGCAUUAAAUUACUCUGCCCCAAUUUAUUUUUUAGAGCAGUUCUUGCUGAAAGGUCUUUCAGGAAAACAAGGACAUUCAGGAAGUAACCCUAGUCUCUGUGGACGAAUGUGUUUAUUGAGAGCAUGCUUGGUGAGAGGUAUACAGACUCUGGUCUUAAAGCCCCUGUUCCAGCUUUAUUUCCUUCUUGGUGAAGCUUCCUCAGUUUCCUCAUCUGGAACAUAGUAUGGCUGUGAGGAUCAGAUGGGAAAACAAUGUGACUGCAGAAAGAAACAGUGGAAAAGGGCACAGAGAGGUCACCGUUAAGUCGAAACCAAAAACAGUUACUCCGUUACUGUUUUUAUUUUUCACAAAUUGCAUAAUCGCCUUGGCUGUCAGUAGCAAAUGUGAAAAUUACCUUGUCAUAGAGGCUUACAGUGUUCCUUUCUCCACGCUAUAACAUAAUUGUCAUUAUAAUUUUACCACCACCAACAGCCAGGGUAGCUGUCCCUAUCCUCGCCUCCGUGACACCUCCGUGUGACAGCAUACACCUGUGUGGCUUAUGCAUGAAAUUAGCUACACAAAUUGUGGAAUACAUGUGCAGCUUAACUUGUUUUGCAAUAAUCUAAACAUUGCAAAUGUUAAGUGUAAAUCAAACCAAAGAUGAAAUAUGGGUGCCAUUUUUUGGUGACAUGUAUCACAUUUCUGAUUAGUCUUCCAAUUUUAACAUCUCUACUUCUGACUUAGUAAAAACUUGGUAACAUGUGCAUUGUAGGAGAAAGUGGUCAUUCACUCCCAUCCACCUUUGUACUACUGCUCCACGAUGAUGCUACCUAGCCAGUAUAAACCCACUGUGGGAUGACAAAAGCAAUAUGGACCAUCAAGAAAGGAAAUCACCAUAUUCCAGACUCUUUGCUGGUACCCUUUACCAGACAUACACCAUCAGCAGUCAGUUCUGUGAAUCUCGAAGUUGGUGAAUCCUGCUGGUGAGGUUCCCCGCCUCCUCUGCCUAUGCUUCCUUGGUAUCAAAAGUGCCUUCUGCUGCUUUACCUGUUGAACUUCUCUGAAGAAAAAAGUUCUUCUUCAUACCAUUAACACGUUUAUGGUUCCAGAGAAACGAAAUCUAAGCAUACAGCAAUGUAAGAAUCCAAAGUGGUAGAAGAUAAACACCAGAGACAAAAUGGAUCCCAGGACCUCCUAUCUGGACUGUAGCAUUAUUUUGUGUAUUCAUUUAUUUGAAGAAGGGAAAUCUGCCUUCAUGAAGAAAAUGUACUGGUCGCAAGGAGUUGGACUGUUUUGAUCUUGCACGGCAAGUUCUCACUACAAAUUCAUUAACUGAGUGGAUUCCUAAGUGGCUUGAGUACAGUGAAUUUUUCAUCCUAUGUAAAAAAAAAAAAAAAAAAAAUGCAACAGAAGGCAAUACAGCCAAGUAUUGAGGAAUGAGGGAAUUUGGUGAUUGGCCACUAGUGACUGGCAAACUGGGACAGCAGGAUCUUGAGUUUCCAACAGUGAGUCUCAUAGUUCAGACAUUCAGAGCCACACUAAACCUUCAGAUCUGUAUGCUGACUGAGAAAGUACAGAUGUGAUUGGAGCAUCAUUAACCUAACUGCCAGCAGAAUUCUGCUAGACCCAAAGUCCUCCACAGGCCUUCCCGACUAGGAAAAGAAAAA